UACGUAGGCAGCGAGCGUUGUUCGGAGUUACUGGGCGUAAAGGGUGUGUAGGCGGUUGUUUAAGUUUGGUGUGAAAUCUCCCGGCUCAACUGGGAGGGUGCGCCGAAUACUGAAUGACUAGAGUGCGGGAGAGGUGAGUGGAAUUCCUGGUGUAGCGGUGAAAUGCGUAGAUAUCAGGAGGAACAUCGGUGGUGUAGACGGCUCACUGGACCGUAACUGACGCUGAGGCACGAAAGCGUGGGUAGCAAACAGG
rnacentral:rRNA from 1 species